CCGAAAGGCGUGGCAUACGGCUCAGUAACACGUAGUCAACAUGCCCAAAGGACGUGGAUAACCUCGGGAAACUGAGGAUAAACCACGAUAGGCCAAGGUUUCUGGAAUGAGCCAUGGCCGAAAUCUAUAUGGCCUUUGGAUUGGACUGCGGCCGAUCAGGCUGUUGGUGAGGUAAUGGCCCACCAAACCUGUAACCGGUACGGGCUUUGAGAGAAGGAGCCCGGAGAUGGGCACUGAGACAAGGGCCCAGGCCCUAUGGGGCGCAGCAGGCGCGAAACCUCUGCAAUAGGCGAAAGCUUGACAGGGUUACUCUGAGUGAUGCCCGCUAAGGGUAUCUUUUGGCACCUCUAAAAAUGGUGCAGAAUAAGGGGUGGGCAAGUCUGGUGUCAGCCGCCGCGGUAAUACCAGCACCCCCGAGUUGUCGGGACGAUUAUUGGGCCUAAAGCAUCCGUAGCCUGUUCUGCAAGUCCUCCGUUAAAUCCACCUGCUCAACGGAUGGGCUGCGGAGGAUACCGCAGAGCUAGGAGGCGGGAGAGGCAAACGGUACUCAGUGGGUAGGGGUAAAAUCCUUAUUACUGAAAGACCACCAGUGGCGAAGGCGGUUUGCCAGAACGCGCUCGACGGUGAGGGAUGAAAGCUGGGGGAGCAAACCGGAUUAGAUACCCGGGUAGUCCCAGCUGUAAACGAUGCAGACUCGGUGAUGGGUUGGC
rnacentral:rRNA from 1 species